CAGUCGCCGCGGUAAUACGGAGGGCGCGAGCGUUACCCGGAUUUACUGGGCGUAAAGGGCGUGUAGGCGGCCUGGGGCGUCCCAUGUGAAAGGCCACGGCUCAACCGUGGAGGAGCGUGGGAUACGCUCAGGCUAGAGGGUGGGAGAGGGUGGUGGAAUUCCCGGAGUAGCGGUGAAAUGCGCAGAUACCGGGAGGAACGCCGAUGGCGAAGGCAGCCACCUGGUCCACUUCUGACGCUGAGGCGCGAAAGCGUGGGGAGCAAACAGGAUUAGAUACCCGGGUAGUCCCUGUCUCUUAUAC
rnacentral:rRNA from 1 species